rnacentral:rRNA from 1 species
AGCAGUAGGGAAUCUUCCACAAUGGACGCAAGUCUGAUGGAGCAACGCCGCGUGAGUGAAGAAGGGUUUCGGCUCGUAAAACUCUGUUGUUAAAGAAGAACAUAUCUGAGAGUAACUGUUCAGGUAUUGACGGUAUUUAACCAGAAAGCCACGGCUAACUACGUGCCAG